rnacentral:rRNA from 1 species
GUGCCAGCAGCCGCGGUAAUACAGAGGGUGCGAGCGUUAAUCGGAUUUACUGGGCGUAAAGCGCGCGUAGGUGGCUAAUUAAGUCAAUAGUGAAAUCCCCGAGCUUAACUUGGGAAUUGCAUUCGUAUCUGGUUGGCUAGAGUAUGGGAGAGGAUGGUAGAAUUCCAGGUCUAGCGGUGAAAUGCGUAGAGAUCUGGACCAAUACCGAUGGCGAAGGCAGCCAUCUGGCCUAAUACUGACACUGAGGUGCGAAAGCAUGGGGAGCAAACAGGAUUAGAUACCCCCGUAGUCC